rnacentral:rRNA from 1 species
GCAUAUCAAUAAGCGGAGGAAAAGAAACCAACAGGGAUUGCCUUAGUAACGGCGAGUGAAGCGGCAACAGCUCAAAUUUGAAAUCUGGCUCUUUUAGGGUCCGAGUUGUAAUUUGGAGAGGAUGUUUCGGGUACGGUCCGGGCUUAAAUUUCUUGGAACAGAAUGUCAAAGAGGGUGAGAAUCCCGUCUGGAGCUCGGGCACGGCCUAUGUGAAACUCCUUCGACGAGUCGAGUUGUUUGGGAAUGCAGCUCUAAAUGGGUGGUAAAUUUCAUCUAAAGCUAAAUAUUGGCCAGAGACCGAUAGCGCACAAGUAGAGUGAUCGAAAGAUGAAAAGCACUUUGAAAAGAGAGUUAAAAAGUACGUGAAAUUGUUGAAAGGGAAGCGCUGGCAACCAGACUUGCGCGUCGGGGUUCCCCCUUGCUUCUGCUUGGGUUACUCCCCGGCGUUCAGGCCAACAUCGGUUUCGGGGGUUGGUUAAAGGCCUUGGGAAUGUACUUACCCUCCGGGGUAAACUUAUAGCCCAGGGUGUCAUGCGACCUCCCGGGACCGAGGAACGCGCUUCGGCUCGGAUGUUGGCGUAAUGGUUGUCAGCGACCCGUCUUGAAACACGGACCAAGGAGUCUAACAUCUAUGCGAGUGUUAGGGUGUCAAACCCUUACGCGGAAUGAAAGUGAACGGAGGUAGGAAGCCAUUAGGCUGCACUAUCGACCGAUCCUGAAGUUUACGGAUGGAUUUGAGUAAGAGCAUAGCUGUUGGGACCCGAAAGAUGGUGAACUAUGCCUGAAUAGGGUGAAGCCAGAGGAAACUCUGGUGGAGGCUCGCAGCGGUUCUGACGUGCAAAUCGAUCGUCAAAUUUGGGUAUAGGGGCGAAAGACUAAUCGAACCAUCUGGUAGCUGGUCCU